UUGGGUUAUGUUUGGACCCCCCUGAGUGUUUCUUCCACACGAAACGAUUCUGCGAUUCCGCGGAGCCAAGAGCGGGACGGGCGGCGCUGCCCGGGCCCGGCCCCUCCGCCCUGCCCGCCGCCUCCAUCCCCAUGGAAACUCCGACCGCCCCGGGCGGAAAGGGCCGGCCCGAGAGGGGACAAAGGAGCGCGGGGAAGCGCCGGAACGCGGCGAGCGAGCCCGGGCGGAGCGGCCCCGGGAGCCCGGCCGGGGGGAGGUGGAGCGAGAGGCCGCGGGACAGCGGCCUGAGGUGCGACAAGUGGCCGCAGCCGAAAAUUCUUUGAUCCUGGAAGGCAACUGGGGGCCAAUUCGCACCUUUUCUUGGACCUUUGGCAACUUUUUCACUCCCAUCGCACUUAUAACUGUGAUGUUUCUGAUCUCAAAGUACGCUGCCCAGCUUACGGAGUUCCACUGUCAUCUCUUCCCACAGAAAUGGGUGUAUUGGCGUCCUCCAGCACCAAAACUAACCCGCCUGCAUCCCUGCUGCUCGCUCCGGUCUGUGCCCUCCUCGUGUGUCACGGACGGAGGUGACGGGGACGGUCAGUUCAGAGAGUUAUUGGAGCUACAGAGAUGUGUUGUGUUCAGCGAGGAGCGUUUGGUACCCGUGAGCGUGUCCCUGUGCCGCACGAGCGUGGGCUGGGACGGGCAUGGCGGUGGCGACGGGGCUUUGGUGGCACCCAGAGCAGUGUGGGUGGUUGGGGUGCACCCAGUGUGGGUGGUUGGGGGUGCACCCAGAGCAGUGUAACUAAUUGGGGGGUGCACCCAGUGUGGCUGGUUGGGGGUGCACCCAGAGCAGUGUGGCUGAUUUGGGGGUGCACUCAGAGCAGUGUGGGUGGUUGGGGUGCACCCAGUGUGGCUGGUUGGGGUGCACCCAGAGCAGUGUAACUAAUUGGGGGGUGCACUCAGAGCAGUGUGGGUGGUUGGGGGUGCACUCAGAGCAGUGUGACUGGUUGGGGGGUGCACCCAGAGCAGUGUGACUAAUUGGGGGGUGCACCCAGAGCAGUGUGGCUGAUUUGGGGGUGCACUCAGAGCAGUGUGGGUGGUUGGGGUGCACCCAGUGUGGCUGGUUGGGGUGCACCCAGAGCAGUGUGGCUGUUUUGGGGGUGCACCCAGAGCAGUGUGGCUGGUUGGGGGUGCACCCAGAGCAGUGUGGCUGGUUGGGGGGUGCACUCUGAGCAGUGUGGCUGAUCAGGGGGUGCACUUGAGGGGCGCACUCUGAGCAGUGUGGCUGAUUUGGGGGUGCACUCUGAGCAGUGUGACUAAUUGGGGGGUGCACCCGGAGCAGUGUGGCUGGUUGGGGGUUGCACUCUGAGCAGGGUGGCUGAUUUUGGGGUGCACUCUGAGCAGUGUGGCAGAUUGGGGGGUGCACUCUGAGCAGGGUGGCUGAUUUUGGGGUGCACUCUGAGCAGUGUGGCAGAUUGGGGGGUGCACUCUGAGAAGUGUGACUAAUUGGGGGGUGCACUCAGAGCAGUGUGGCUGAUCAGGGGGUGCACUCAGAGCAGUGUGGGUGGUUGGGGUGCACCCAGAGCAGUGUGGCUGAUUUUGGGGUGCAUCCAGAGCAGUGUGGCUGGUUGGGGUGCACCCAGAGCAGUGUGGCUGAUUUGGGGGUGCACCCAGAGCAGUGUGGCUGAGCAGGGGGUGCACCCAGAGCAGUGUGGCUGGUUGGGGUGCACUCUGAGCAGUGUGGCUGAUCAGGGGGUGCACUUGAGGGGCGCACUCUAAGCAGUGUGGCUGAUUUGGGGGUGCACUCUGAGCAGUGUGACUAAUUGGGGGGUGCACUCUGAGCAGUGUGGCAGAUUGGGGGGUGCACCCAGAGCAGUGUGGCUGGUUGGGGGUGCACCCAGAGCAGUGUGGCUGGUUGGGGUGCACCCAGAGCAGUGUGGCUGAUCAGGGGGUGCAUUUGGGGGGUGCAUUUCCAGCAGGGUGGCUGAUCAGGGGGUGCAAUUGAGGGGUGCACUCUGAGCAGUGUGGCAGAUUGGGGGGUGCACUCUGAGCAGUGUGGCAGAUUGGGGGGUGCACUUGCGGGGUGCACUUGGAGCAGUCUGGCAGAUUGGGGGGUUCCUUCCUUCCUUUUCCUCCCUUCCAUUUCCUUCCUUCCAUUUCCUUCCUUCCUUUUCCUUCCUUCAUAUUUCCUUCCUUCUUUUCCUUCCUCCUUCCUUCCUCCUUCCUUUUCCUUCACCUUCUUAUCUAUAUUGCUGCUUUCCAGCUCUAUCUCAGGUUUAUUAUGUGUCACGUUUUAAGCGCAGCCUUUGUCCACCCUGCGGGCUGGUGUGCGCUGACUUUUCUCCAGGCCCUGCUGCGAUCACAGCGUGUUGCUCCGCAGAGUCAUUUCAUUCCAAGGAUUAUCAAUCAUACAACUUCAUACUUCUAGGUCUCUGCUUUCCCGAUCGCUGCCGUGGUCGUAAGCCAAAUCCUCUUUCGUCUUUAUCUCCCUUGGAUGCCGUGAUGCUGCCGAGCGAGGCGCAAUUAACUCUGCUCCAGGGUUUCUCUCUGCCCCCGGAGACGCUGCAGGAAGGUGCCAGAGCUGCAAACACGAGCCCGCAUCCAGGUUUUUACAGCAUCCCCGUUGCCGAGCGCAACGUGGAUCAUCCCCAGCAUCACCGUGGAAGAAAGGGCAGCAUGGAGAUGCCGGUUUGCCGGGGAGAUCAAUCGGGGCGCGGCGUUUUCAUGGGGCGUUCAGACCCCCCGACGCCGCGCGCGGGUUUUCCAGUUCUGGUUCCGACGCUGCCGCCGUGGGGAGGUCUCUGUGGCGCAAUGGACGAGCGCGCUGGACUUCUAAUCCAGAGGUUCCGGGUUCGAGUCCCGGCAGAGAUGAUCUCCAGGCAGGUGUCUCUUUUCUUUUAAUGCCCGUUGCUUUGUAGGUCCCAAUCUGUCACAUUUAUAACACCCCCGAGGGAUUUGGAGGGGUAGAUAAUGACUUUCCACCACAGCUUCUCUGCAGAUGAUGCGUAACGGUGCUGAGCUCCCUUCUAAGUCAUCUCUCCAUCACAUUCCCCUUUCCUCGUUCCUUUUGGUAUCUCCUGAAUAAUCGGGUGUUUUAACCCUCUACUGCUCGCAGGUCUCAUCUUUGGUACCUUCUUAAAGAAAGUUCGCUGAUUUCCAGUAGAAAUCAGGUGCUUGGGCAGUUUAGAGCCUUCUGUGGAUGUUUCCUGUGAUAAACAUGGUCGUUGUUUUCAAAUGCGUGGCAAAAAAAUAGGUCUAUAUUGUGAAUUUCUACCAUAUAGAAAUUCUUUGUAAAUGCUUUUAUUUUGCAUGGUUUUACUUUGCUGACGACCACCCCCACACCCCUGUGGGUGUUCGCCUUCCCAAGCAGCAAAUUGACUCUUUUUUCCCUUUAAAA